GAAGAAGUCAAAUGCAUCAGAAGUGCAUUGCAACGGAUCCGCGAGAGCAAGUUAUGCAAAAAUCUACACUUGGCAAAAAUUGCUCUCGGGGACCGGUCCCUGGCAGGGAGAGACCGGUCCCACCGACUGGUGGUUGCGGCGACGCGCGAGGCAACCUGUCACGCCCCGCGACCGCUACCAAUUUGGCUCGGCCCGGGCGCGUCGAACAGACGCCGAACGGACAGGACCUCCCCUGUCCGUCCAAGGCUAACCAACAGAUCGUGUAUAAGAAUUUACCCAGGAAUCAAUUCAUAAAUACACGAUCAAGAAGCACCACUAGUGCUAUGAACAAGAGCAAGAUACAAGUAUAGAAAUAUAUACAAGUACAUAAGAGAGAAGAGGCUAUCUAUUACAUUCAUUUGAUUUACUACAUCUAGAUACAUCUUUUACAUUCUUCCAAAAUAUAAAUACAAGCACUCAACCCUCACCCUAUACAACAUCUACUCUCAAAUACAAAAGGGGUGACGGCUAAUGCAAGAAGGGAGGUAGCUAAUGCGACUAGAACGCCGGGCCCUUACCGCGGUCCUCACGCUCACCGGGGACACCCGAACUGGAACCUGUGGUAAAAUGGGGGUGAGAACUAACUUCCUUAGUUCCCAGUGGGUUCGGCCGCCGACUCCGCCGAUCUCCCCACUAGGUCCAAGCGGGCACGAGUAGAUAUACCAAUAGAUAGAUAGAUAGAUAGAUAAAUAAGGAAGCUAUAAAUGACGGGAAUUAAGCUAUUCUACUAUGCCCAAUCAUAGAUAUAUGAAUGCAUGUUCGAUGAAUUGGUAAGCAGCUAACCUGUCAGCGUGUCCAAAGGUGAAGCUAUUCACUCGUUCAUUAACCUCAUUUACUUGUCCAUUAAUCUCAUGGCUUACCCGAAGGCUCGCCUACAGCUCACUAGCCAUCUCGACACGUAGGGAGAAUCAACUCACACUACGGACCCGAGACCGUCUGGCGGGGCCAUAUAGGCAAUCCCUGGCGUGACCAACAUCCGGAGCGCACUACUUGUGUGGGGCUUCCAUCACAAGAUUUAACAGACCGUGAGCAUGAUCCAAUCCUCUAAGCUCGAGGAUACCCUGUCCUCUAGAGUCACAAUCAUCAUAUAGUCCAUAGGUUUCAUAUACACUACGACUAGAUUACCAACCAUCCAUUUGUUCGCUAUCGACUAGAUGCCACUCGUUCAUCAUUUACUAUUGACUAGAUGCCACUCGUUCAUCAUUUACUAUUGACUAGAUGCCACUCGUUCAUAGUUCAUCAUUUCUCUACAUUAUAGGAUUCACAAUCUCGACCCAAUCCUUAUCAAUCCAAUAUAUCAAUUAUCCAAUGUACGCUACGAUAUCAUCAAGGAAAAACAUAAGGAAAGGCAAUGCAUACUAAUCCUAUAAUGCAAUAAUACAAGAUGCAAGAUCAAAUAUACUAAGACAUAGGAGGGAGCCCGAUUGCUUCGGGAUGGACACCACCCACCUCUUGGCGAUGCCGCGGUGGUAGAAAACUUGACGCUGCGGUUCUUGUACGCCGCCUAAACUCCUCGGGGCAAAGCGAGCCCUCGAGUACCCGAUUUGGCGAUAACUCCGCACCCGCUCGUCGGAUCGGCAAACCGUCUUCGCCGACGCGUUCAGAGACCUAGCAAUUAGGUUUACGACCCAUUAAAAUAGAUCAGAACCCUAAAUUUACCAAAAACCCAAUUUCAAACCCUAGGUCUCGACAACGGAGAAAUCCGUGGUGCGAGCUUCGAUUUCGAGCUCGAACCUUCCAUUUAUCCCUAAUAGGUUCCAUUUGAACCAAUUCUAAACCCUAAAAAACACAAAACCCUAAAAACACCAUUAAAGGGUUUAGAGCUUACCUCUCUUCAAGACUUCUUCAAGCUUGAGGGAGAGGGAGAGAAGAGGAUAUCUCCUUCUUCUUCUUCUUAGUCUUCUCCUUCUCUUUCUUCUCUUCUUCUCCUUCCUCUUCUUCUUCUUCUUCUCUUUCUUUUCUUUUCUUUCCUAGAGAGAGAGAUAAGGAGUAAGAGAGAGAGAGAGAAAGCAGCUGAGAGGGAGAGAGAGGGGUCCCCAAGCCCUAUUAAAGGCCAUUUUGCAUAUAGCCCCCUCAACUUUUCAUCCUUUGAAUCAGCCCUCUCUGGGCAUUUUCGCAGCGAGAGACCGGUCUCCCCGACUUCGGACCGGUCCCCGAAGGCUGCCAUUUCGAGCAGAGGGAUUCUCGCGUUCGGGAACCGGUCCUUGCCUGAGAGACCGGUCCCCGGGAGACCGGUCCUUGUCCGAGAGACCGGUUCCCGAGAGCUGCAUUCUCGGGACUUAGCCAAAUUUGGCUAAGUCUCGCCAGGCCAACGUUCGGGAACCGGUCCCUGCCCAUCAGGGACCGGUCUCAUCAGAGACCUUCGCAACCCAGCCUGAUGGAACCGGUCCCUCCCUGCCAGGGACCGGUCCCCGAGAGCAUUUCUGCUCCAGUGCAAGUUUUGCACUUGGUGCUCUCGCGGACACUUCCUUAAUGCACUUUAUGCAUUAUAAAAACCUUCGGACUUUCCGAAGCCUACGCACUCGACAACUAGUCGUUUCUAGUCGAAGUCUAAUCCUCGAGUUUCGAGAAUUCACUUCCUUACACAACCUGUCCCUGGACCAGGGAGACCGGUUCCCGAACGUGUGAAUUGGAGAAGGUCCUCUGGGACCGGUCCCUGGCAGGGAGAGACCGGUCCCCGAGUAUGAAAUUUGCCCAGGCAGGCUGGGUCAUGUUGGAGAAGUUGGAGAACUUGAGAAUAUUGCUCUCUUGAGGGUUAGCAUUGGAGAUGUGCCAAAGUGUGCCAUCUCGCAAUAGAGCAAGGGUGCCACCUCACAAUAGAGCGAAGAUCCGGAUGUGAUGGUAGCACUCGCGGUUGAUCGAUGCACCAAUAAUACUGCCUUUAGGCAAUGCCGGUGAUCGAACCGGAGUGGAUUUCCCGAUUGGGCGUGUAAUGCAAGGAGUAGUUCCUUGCAUGGUAGUAAUGCACUUUUGGAGUUGCGCAUGGCGAAUGUGAGUGAAUUUGGUCUCCCAUUCUCCGUAGUGAGCCUUUGGAAAGUUCCGAUAAGUGAAAGGCCACUCCGAGAUGCAAAAGUGCAUUGGAACCCUCGAUUACUCAAUAAGUUGAGUUGAGGUGUGUGUUAGAUUUGAAGUGAGUUAGUUUCGAGGAUGAAACUCUUUUAAGGAGGGGAGAAUGUAA
rnacentral:lncRNA from 1 species